ensembl:lncRNA
GUCUGACUCUUUGCGACCCUAUGGACUGCAGCCUGUCAGCCGCCUCCGCCCAUGGGGAUUCUCCAAGCAAGAAUACUUGAGUGGGUUGCCAUGCCCGCCUCAUACACGUGCUUUCAUUACUCUCAGACAUUACCCAGGAGUGGAAUUGCUGGUCACAUAUGAUUGUGUGCACAGUCUGGCCGGUUGCCCGCAGCAUUCUACCUGCUGCGCUGGGAAAGGCUGAGCCUCCAUGGAGAAAAAGAGGCGCCAUUGUAUAGAACACUCUCCCAUGCGCAAGCUCCAAGAGACUUCAUGCCAGGCAGAGGACACAGGAUAUGCUGAUAAUUAAGUGUCCAAG